GCCUGGGUGGUUCAGUAGGUUGACCAUCUGACUUCAGCUCAGGUCAGGAUCUCAUGGUUCGUGGGUUUGAGCCCCACAUCAGGCU
rnacentral:tRNA from 1 species